rnacentral:lncRNA from 1 species
AUGGCUGUUGUUAGAGAAGAGAGUUCAUCUACAGCUAGAGGAUUGAAGAAACAGAUGGUAAGAUUUUCGAGGAAGCUUAAAACAGAAGCCAAGCUAAUACAGAACUGUUCAGCUAUCAGACAGGGUAAAUCCAUUCUGUCGCUUUCUUUUUUUUUUCUUUUUUUUUUUUUUUCCCAAAUCACAACCCAUCAAAAGAAAGGUUUAGCUUCAUAAAAAGAUAUUUACCAGGAAGCUUUUUGCAAAGGAGAAGGGCAUGCUUUGUUAAACCAGAUGCAUUUUAUUUUUCCUGGAACCAAGAUUUAUGAAAGCAGUAUGCUCAUAUUUCUCCAUAUACAGUAAUUGGAACUCAUUAUGCUAAUUGUAUUUCCAUUAUCACUAAUUAACAAUCAUAGUGACCUGGCCCACAGUCUAAUUUGUCUUUAAUCUGUUUUUGUAUAGGGAGUUUUACCCUGUAAUUUCAAGGUGAUAAUUCUAUUCAGCACAACUUUAUUGAAUAGUGGAAUGUAAUACUUGUAAUAUUUAGGGCUGUUCCCAAUCAGAUAGUUCAAAGGGAAUGGGAAGUGAAUUUAUACCUGUCCAUGCAGUUGCAUUAGUGGGUCUGACUCCCUUUGGCACUCUGUUUAACCUACCUGUGUUAGACUUAACCUGUGUUUGGCUUAUCUAGAGUAACUGGGGGUUGGUCAACAUUGGCUGAUGAGAUUUGCGAGCUGUGAAUGAAUGUAUGUGUAUUUAUCGAUGGAUAAAUUGGAGGGAAUCUGCCAUUUUUCACUGUGUGACACUUCACCUGCAGGAAAACAGGAUUUUCCUUAAAUGAUGAUGUCGGUGUAGUGUAAAACAUGCCCGAUGUCUUGAGGGGGAAAAAAAAACACCUCUGAGCUUAGCAUGAAGAAUGUUUUGGUGUUUUUUUUUUUUCUUUUCUCUUUUUACUUAAACAACAAGUAAACGCUUGUUUGCUUUUUCUCCAGGGUUUGCUGGCAUUCAGAUGUUCCAGGUUUUUUCCAUCAUUUUUCAGUGUGAGGGAAAUGAGCAGUGCUGUGCCACUGGGGUUUUGCAAAUCCUGCUGUACUGCUCAUCCCUCUUGAGUUGGUGUGACAAAAACACUCUCAGUGACUUAUUCCAGGUGACCCUAAUGUUUUCCCGUGGUGCUGCUCACCUACUGCCCCUUCCCUUCUGCUGAUUCACUAGCCGUACGUUGCAGCUGAUGCCAUGUCUU